GGGACGGAGAAGGCUAUGUUAGCCGGGCGACGGUUGUCCCGGUUUAAGCAUGUAGGCUGAUUGUCCAGGCAAAUCCGGAUAAUCAAGGCUGAGGUGUGAUGACGAGGCACUACGGUGCUGAAGUAACAAAUGCCCUGCUUCCAGGAAAAGCCUCUAAGCAUCAGGUAACAUUAAAUCGUACCCCAAACCGACACAGGUGGUCAGGUAGAGAAUACCAAGGCGCUUGAGAGAACUCGGGUGAAGGAACUAGGCAAAAUGGUGCCGUAACUUCGGGAGAAGGCACGCUGGUGUGUAGGUGAAGUCCCUGCGGAUGGAGCUGAGACCAGUCGAAGAUACCAGCUGGCUGCAACUGUUUAUUAAAAACACAGCACUGUGCAAACACGAAAGUGGACGUAUACGGUGUGACGCCUGCCCGGUGCCGGAAGGUUAAUUGAUGGGGUUAUCCGUAAGGAGAAGCUCUUGAUCGAAGCCCCGGUAAACGGCGGCCGUAACUAUAACGGUCCUAAGGUAGCGAAAUUCCUUGUCGGGUAAGUUCCGACCUGCACGAAUGGCGUAAUGAUGGCCAGGCUGUCUCCACCCGAGACUCAGUGAAAUUGAACUCGCUGUGAAGAUGCAGUGUACCCGCGGCAAGACGGAAAGACCCCGUGAACCUUUACUAUAGCUUGACACUGAACAUUGAGCCUUGAUGUGUAGGAUAGGUGGGAGGCUUUGAAGCGUGGACGCCAGUCUGCGUGGAGCCAACCUUGAAAUACCACCCUUUAAUGUUUGAUGUUCUAACGUUGGCCCCUGACCGGGGUUGCGGACAGUGUCUGGUGGGUAGUUUGACUGGGGCGGUCUCCUCCCAAAGCGUAACGGAGGAGCACGAAGGUUAGCUAAUCCUGGUCGGACAUCAGGAGGUUAGUGCAAUGGCAUAAGCUAGCUUGACUGCGAGCGUGACGGCGCGAGCAGGUGCGAAAGCAGGUCAUAGUGAUCCGGUGGUUCUGAAUGGAAGGGCCAUCGCUCAACGGAUAAAAGGUACUCCGGGGAUAACAGGCUGAUACCGCCCAAGAGUUCAUAUCGACGGCGGUGUUUGGCACCUCGAUGUCGGCUCAUCACAUCCUGGGGCUGAAGUAGGUCCCAAGGGUAUGGCUGUUCGCCAUUUAAAGUGGUACGCGAGCUGGGUUUAGAACGUCGUGAGACAGUUCGGUCCCUAUCUGCCGUGGGCGCUGGAGAAUUGAGGGGGGCUGCUCCUAGUACGAGAGGACCGGAGUGGACGCAUCACUGGUGUUCGGGUUGUCAUGCCAAUGGCACUGCCCGGUAGCUAAAUGCGGAAGAGAUAAGUGCUGAAAGCAUCUAAGCACGAAACUUGCCCCGAGAUGAGUUCUCCCUGAGACUUUAAGUCUCCUGAAGGAACGUUGAAGACGACGACGUUGAUAGGCCGGGUGUGUAAGCGCAGCGAUGCGUUGAGCUAACCGGUACUAAUGAACCGUGAGGCUUAACCUU
rnacentral:rRNA from 1 species